AAGCUGAUUGCAUGACAGGAUCUCCACUUAAGCAGAGACACUUAUAAGUUACACCUGAACAGAGAUCUCUUGUGGCUUGAUGUCAAGACACCUUGCUGAUACAGAUACUUGGCCAUUAAGACUCCUGGGGAUCCUACAAGACAAACCUGUAAUAAUCUCAAUGAGUUACAACCAAUAUUCCAGGUGCAAGUGGGAAGAUUGAUUGUUGGAUUUAUUGCUGGUUUUCAAACUGACCCAGUCCUCACUGAAGAUGAAAAUGUGCCCACAGGCUGAAGUGGAUGCAGGACCUUCAUGUUGGCUGCUUCCAGCUCUGGUGCUGCUCAGCAGGCUCUGUUUGAACAGCUGUAGAUCACUGUACUGGGCCAUCCAAACUACAAUUUCCAUUGCUCUUGCCUCUCUCCUCUAGACAGGACAACAUCUGCAGAUCCUUUACUUCAGUCUGCUGGCUGCUAAGCAGGCCCUGAAUACCUAAUAGGGAAAAGAAAAUCCUCAUCUUGGCCAACCUCAGCUGCCUGGUUAUUCCACUAGCCAAAGCACCAGCAUCUGCCUUACCUUCUCUUACAGUUGUUUUAUCUGAUCAAAGAAGGUCUGUUUUCUUUAUUCUGGUAUAUAUUCUACAUUAUAAUACCUGCAAGCCAUGUUUAAACUAGCAAUGAAAGGAGAUAAUUUAAGAAUGAAGAAAUGACCAACUCAAAUUUUCACAUUCUCCCUGAGGAAAAUGAGUUUUGUUCCCAUGAGGAUCAUUGCUUUACCUUGUGAAGCAAAGUCCCUGAACUCUGUAUUCUUCAUCACAGAUGUCACAUGCAAAGUAAGAGUAACUUGAUGUGAAGGACAUCUUGAAAUAUUCUGCCUUUUUUGAAUACGAAUGUAAGAAUCUGCAGAAACUGUGAAUGAACAUUUACAACAAACUGUGAGCCUCCUACUGAUGCACUCAAAUACAAAACAGGAGGCGAGAGAAAGAAGGAAAAGAGAUGAAUUUUUUUUCCUACCAAACAGCUGUCUUCUUUAACAGAAGAAACUAAAGAGAAAACACUGUGUGAAGAGGCCAAAAGCUGCAUUAAUUACAGUAUUUUUAGAUGCUACAAGCACAAUUUUGAUAAACACUCUAAACUGUGAAAAAACUGUACUGUCAAUGCAAUUAAGUCCUUUUUCUUGGUGCAGCAUCAUCAAUGCAUGUGUCUGCUGAGAAUAUAUUGUGGGUUGUACAGUGCAGUUAUCCUUUGAUUAAUGAUUCAAGAUGAUCACUAGGGACCACACAAGCUCCUGGGAGAUGCCAGAACAAGCAGCACAAUGUCAUCAUUAAUUUCUUCUCUUGACCUACAUUAGAAAGAGUGAUGAUACAUUCAGUGUUAUGGGGUAAAUUUCAGCCAUGGUUAUAUACAAACAGCCCCCAUGGAAGUAAAAAAAUAGGUAUAUGGCUUUGGAAUAACAUUAGGCAUUAAAAAAUUACUGCAUGGAUCUAAAUGUAUUAUUUAUUUAUUUAUUUAGAUCAACUGCAGAACAUGGGAAGGUGUCAGACUAAUUAUUCUGUUAGCUUUAAUAUCUGGGUCUGUUGUGAAAUCCCCAUACAAGAAAAAAAAAUAUAAUCCCUCUAGGUGGAAAAUGUGAGAUCUCAUUUCUUAGCUGGUUAAUAUUUCUAUUUAGCCAGAGGAUGGCAUUAGAGCUGGUAUUUUAUCAGGAUAGACCUAAAACUCAGCUCAAAAUAAUAUUUUUGCUAAAGGCACCUGCAAGUGGUGACAUCAGUCUGUCAGUUGGAUUGCUUUUCUUCACUGACAUGAAGUCCUCCAUUUUGUGCCAGUGGGUAUUGAUCAUGAAUUCGCAUGAAGCACUCUGAGUGAGCAAGGCAACACAGCAUGUUUGGUUUGCUGUCUUCAGCAACUAGAAUACACCAAAGAGCUCAAAACAUUGCAGCACUUCCUUCAAAAUACUUGGUCUACAGUUUGGGUAGUAAAUCUGUUUUUGCUUCCCAAACUGACCUUCUGUAUUGCAUUUAUCCUUGUCCAAGGUCUCAGAUACUAUCUUCAAGGUAUGUCAUUGUUUCACCCAAGGUUAACUGAAAGCCCAGCAUUAGUAAUGCUGCCAAUAGCACUGUUUCUCUAAUAUGCUGUAAUUUUCUAUAGUGAGGGUGAAGCUUGUUUGCACUAGAAACAUUUUUUACUCCAGGGAGAAGUAUGUGGAGUAUGUUUCCUGAGUAACCAAAGGACAUCUGUGUGCCAGAGUUAUUUUCAGCUUUGAAUUUUUUUUAUUCACUCAAAGCAUCUCCACUACUUUCAUUUUUCCCAUAGGGAAAGGAUGCAAGAGCAGAUAUGAUAGAUUCCAGUUGCAAUAUUUCUGCUCUUCAAAAACUGCUCAGAUACUACAGUGCAAAAUUCUACAUGAUAUAAAAUGGAACAAUAUAAAUGCUUGUAUAUGAUACUGCAGUUAUGGGAUAAUUCUGGUUUCAGUGGGAGUUGUGAUUUCAUGCAGUUUUACUAGGUUGUUAAACAGGGAUGGAUGUAUUAAUGGAAAGUUAAUAUUUUCACAGAGUAAAUGUAUUAUAAAAGUUUCUAUGUUAAGCAAAAAGUGAUCUUUAAAAUCCUUGUGAUGUUGUUUACAAAAUGUAGUCCACAGGGUCAUAUAUAUUGAAAAGUGUCUUCAAACCUGUGAAUUGCCACUAGUUAAAUAUUUCCUAUAAGCAUGAUCAUAAAAAAAUCCAGAACAAAACAGCACAUUCUGCGUUCAAGAAGCCCACAAGGAGCUCCUUCCAGCCUAGCAUUAAAGAACUCAGACAGUAAUACGGCAGCUCCAUCAAAUGUCUACAAAAACUGAAACUGACCAAAACAAGACUUUCAUUAUUGUGACAUUCACAAAUAAAUUUUAUUUUUAUCUUUUAACUCAUGAGAGUAUAGAAAUAAGAUUGAUAAGUUACACCAGCUGCUGAAAUAUCUUCUUCAUAUUUGUAGAUAGCUCACCAGCUGUCAUGGGCUGCCUUAGCUUACCUCGCUUUCAAAUGAGAGACGAUUUACUUUUACAUCUUUUCAACUAGAAUGGCAAUUUCCAGUCUCAAAUUGUACCAGACUCAUCACUUAACUAUUGUUCAAUAUUAAGCUUCAUAUGUUAUGCAAAACAAGUUACUCCUACCGAAAAAUCAAUACAAGUGGACGGUGCCACUUGAAUUAAUGAUGCAUGUCUUCUAAAUUGAAGGGAGUUUAGUUGUUUUUACAUGCAAAACUCAUGAAAGUGAU